UCAACAGUCAACACGCUUACUAUAUUAAAAUUAAUAUUAUAUUAAAUAAUAAUUUAAAAAAACAAUAUAUAAUUAAUAAAUACUCCACGAUAUUCAAAAUUAAUACUCCCUCCGUCCUUAAAAGAACAACCCUUUUGGCCAAAUUUUAGUCCAAAAAUGUUAAUCUCAUUUACAUUAAAAUACCCUCCAAUUUACAAUAAUAUUUGUGCAAAAUUAGCUUCCCCGUGAAAAUUUUGCUUUUUCCAUGUAUUUUUUUUCUCCCUCCGUCCCAGAAAGAACGACCCUUUUGGCUAGAUUAAUCCCAAAAUAUUCAUCCCAUUUGUUUUUCCCAACAACUAUUAAUAUCAUAAAAUUACCCAUAUAUUCUCAAUUUUUUUUGUCUUCUAGCUCAUUCUCCCUAUUUUACCCUCAUAAUUUUUUCAAAUGUUUGUGCCAACCACUCCCUAAAUUUCUACACUAUUUUUCUCUCUUGCCAUUAUAUUUUUCUGUCCCUUCUUUAUCUCUCUUCAUAUUUUCAUUGGUUUUGGGUUUUUUCUCUAGAAGAACCCUAGUUUACACUACUAGAAAUAGAUCUAUUUCCGACGGACAGUUUCCGACGGACAUGAAUUUCCGUCGGAAAAAUUAGAAAUUCCGACGGAUUUUUUAUUUCGUAGGAAUUCCGUAGGAAAUUUCCAACGAAAUAUUUACUCGUAGGAAAAUAAAGGAUUUCCGACGGAUUAUUCCGUCGGAACGUUAAAUUUCCAAUGGAAACAAAGUCCGUCGAAGAUUUCCGACGGAUUUUUCCAUCGGAAUAUCGAACUUCCUAAGGAACUAAAAUCCGUCGGAAAAUUAUGUUCCGACGGAAAAUUCCGUCGGAAUUCAGGUUAAAAAAAAAAAAAAAAAACAAAACCCUACAUUUAAAAACCGGAUCUUCCUAUUUUCUCACUCCUCUACUCCGCCUCUUUCCCUUCUCCCUCUUUCUCCUUCUCCCCCCUCUCCUCUUUCCCUUCUCUUCUCACGCACUGUCGUGGUCCUCGCUCUUCUCUUCUCCGUUUCUACUUCUCCAUCCUCUCAUCUCCUCACCCUUCUCCCUCCUCUAUCUUCUCACGUUUCUCUUCUCCUCUCUCAUUCUCUCUCCUCUCCUCGCCCUCCUCUGCUCACGCACCGUCGUGGUCACGCACCACCACCAGCAGCAUCGUCGUGCUCACGCACCACCGUCGUCCUCACGCAUCACCGCCGUACCACUCUAAUUACAAUUUAACGAUUUUUUGUUCAAACUCGACCUUGAAAAUUCCAGAUCUGGAAUUUUCAUGGUCGAGUUUGACCAUUUAAACCCAACAAAAAUGAAAUUUCAAAAGGGUUAAUGUUUUCUGGAAACGAUGUGUUUGUUGAAAACAGAAAUGAAGGCUUCAACAGCAACAUUCAAAUCGUAGAAUAAGGCAUGAUGACGGUGGAUUACAGAGUGAUUUCGCAGAUUUUUGUUUUUUUUUAGGGUGUUAUCAAAUGUUUAAAAAUAUUUUUAGGAAUGAAAUUGCCAAAUUUGCAAUCUGUGUACUUUGAUUUUAUUGAAUGUUGUAAAAGAAUACUCAAAUCUUAGUGGUUAA